GAUCUGUAAAAACAGUAAGAAAUCGUAUAAUGAGCUAGACAGCCCAGUAAGUAAUAAACACCUUACCUAGUCAAUUCAUAUAAUAACAUAAAAUAUAAAUACAAAUUACGAUGAAUCAACAUAAUAACAUAAUCAAUUCCUUUUCAAGCACAAAUUCAUUAAAAUUUGUAUUUUUGAAAUAUCCAUAUACAUAAUCAUAAAUCUGAUUCGAAACAAAUCACAUUCAUCUCAUCAGCCUUUAGCUACGACCACACUUAUACCCUGUGGCUAGGCCAGAAACAGAACUGCACUUAUACCCUGCGGAGUGGGCCAGAAUACCGCACUUAUACCCUGCGGAGUGGGCCAGAAUACCACACUUAUACCCUGUGGAGGGGCCAGAAUUGCCAAUGCAUAACCCCCUAUUGGCAGGGUCCAGAACAUAGCCAGGCUGAGAGUUCUAAAUCUGAUGCACAUCAAAAUUCUUUU
rnacentral:lncRNA from 1 species